rnacentral:rRNA from 1 species
CGAUCGCCUCAGGAAAGCAAGGAUGCAAGCUGCCUAUAAGCGGCGAUUCGAUAGCUAGUGUGGGUAUGCUGCAGCGACGAUCGUAGCUGUUGAGAGACGGCAGCACACUGGACUGAGACACGUCAGACUCUACGGAGCAGCAGUGGGAAUUUGACAAUGAGGGAAACCCUGAUCAGCAUCCGCGUGUGCGAUGAAGCUUCGGGUGUAAAGCACUUUUGCAGAAAGAAACGUCAUGGGCUAAUACCCGUGAAACUGACGGUACCUGCAGAAUAAGCACCGGCUAACUACGUGCCAGCAGCGCGGUAAUACGUAGGGUGCAAGCGUUAAUCGGAAUUACUGUCGUAAAGCGUGCGCAGGCGGUUCGGAAAGAAAGAUGUGAAAUCCCAGAGCUUAACUUUGGAACUGCAUUUUUAGCUACCGAGCUAGAGUGUGUCAGAGGGAGGUGGAAUUCCGCGUGUAGCAGUGAAAUGCGUAGAUAUGCGGAGGAACACCGAUGGCGAAGGCAGCCUCCUGGGAUAACACUGACGCUCAUGCACGAAAGCGGGGGGAGCAAACAGGAUUAGAUACCCUGGUAGUCCACGCCCUAAACGAUGUCAACUAGCUGUUGGGGCCUUCGGGCCUUGGUAGCGCAGCUAACGCGUGAAGUUGACCGCCUGGGGAGUACGGUCGCAAGAUUAAAACUCAAAGGAAUUGACGGGGACCCGCACAAGCGGUGGAUGAUGUGGAUUAAUUCGAUGCAACGCGAAAAACCUUACCUACCCUUGACAUGUCUGGAAUUCUGAAGAGAUUUGGAAGUGCUCGCAAGAGAACCGGAACACAGGUGCUGCAUGGCUGUCGUCAGCUCGUGUCGUGAGAUGUUGGGUUAAGUCCCGCAACGAGCGCAACCCUUGUCAUUUUUUGCUACGUUGUGUGCACUCCAAUGAUCUUGCUCGUGCCAACGGGGAGGAAGUUGGCGAGGACGGCACCUCCCCAUAUCCCUUCUGGGUAGGGCUUCAUGAUUCAUAUAAUUCUCUGCAGGCUGGGGCGCCAUCCAGCCAGGUGGAUAUAGCCCCAGACCUCCGAUCGUACUCCGGAUCUCAGUCUCUCGUCGGCUCGGUGAAGUCGGAGUCCCUACUGUCGCCGAGCAACAAGCGCGUAUGCGGUA